GAGGCGCCCACCUGCGAUCGCGUGGGGGUCUGCUGAGUACUCCUGCACGUCCACCACACAGCAGUCUAGGGCAGCUUUCAGCUUCUUCAGCUUGGAGGCAGACGGCGCCACACGGAAGAGCCCCUGCAACAGCACAGAGGACACAGCAAGAGAAGGAACACAAGCAGGAGGAGCGGCAGAGGAAGAAGCAGCCUUCCCGUGGAGCAGGGAGCCCGAUGCCAGACCCUGGGACCAUGACCUGAACUGAGGGCGGAUCCUUAAUGAUUGAGCCACCCAGGUGCCCUGCCAGGUUUCAUUCUUUUUUUUUUUUUUUCCGUGUUUCAUUCUUAAAAUUACUUCUGAAUCCUUAUCAUGGC